CAAAGUCAGAGGCGGCUCCAAUGUUCUUCUUCUCUACUGAGUUCGAUCUCGACUCGCCUGAGUUCGAGCGAGCUCACUCAAAACGGUUCCCUCUCCACGUCACCUCUAUUCCCCAACAGAUUUGUCAGAGGAGUACGAUAUUCUCUCAGAAUUCUACAAUUUCGGAUUCAAAAGGACGAUUUGCUGGACUAAUGGGGGCCGUGGAUAGAUGUAAAUCGAUCCAUGCCUUCCAUUUGUCCCAAAAAUUGUUCAAAACAAACGUGAGGAUUUUUGAAUUCGGGGCAGAAGAUUCGAAAUUUUGAGGGCUAUAUAUAUAUGAGCUGGGAUUCUGAACUUUGGCACUGGUUGGAUUUUUGUCCGAAUUUUUGGUUGAAAUUUCGAUCUGGUGGGCUGACUGGUCGAGCUUUCGUUACUGCUGCUGAGUUCUUUCUUCUGUUUCGGAAUUUCGUUUGCUAUUUUCGGUUAUUUUUACUAAUAGGUAUGUUUCAACACUGUUGUAUUCAUUUUCUAUUUGAAUAAAGUUGUUGAUUUCUGGUUUGGCUUGCUGAAUGCUUGUGAUAGUAUGUUAACAUGAACUUAAACAGAUCUAUAUUAAAAUGAUUUCUGGAGUCAAGUGUUAGAGUUUUACUAGGUCGAGAUUUGAGUGCAAGCAUGAAGCAGCGAGUUUUGUUUUACUGAUCAACCAUUGUGAGAAGGAAUUUUGGUUCCUAUUUGUUUUGGGGAGUCAAGUUGCUGUAUUUUUUCUGAGUUUCCUUUACUGCAGAAUGUAUACCUUUCAUUAAGUCUCAAGCUAUCAUGACUACUGAUUUAAAAGUGUACUGUGAUUCGAGAA